GCCAACUCCGAUUAUGUCUGAGGCCAUCAAAAGUGAGGACAAACCCAAUCUACAGUCACUGGGUCCUGAUUGUGACAGUGGAGCCCAGUUUGUACUGCAGGAUCCAGAGAUGGCAUCAGUGAAGCUGGAAGACUGCAGUCAAACACUGGAGCUGAAUGUCAACAUUAAAGAUGAAGAAGAGGAGGAGAAGAUUGGGGAAUCUGUUUAUGAUGGAGACCAUGUUGAGAUAUUCUCUACAUCCGGAGAGCAACAGCAGGAAGAUCACAGAGUUAAGAGGUCUCACCACUGCCCACAUUGUGAGGAGAUUUUCCCAAUUCUAUCAAAACUAGAAAUACACCUAAAAAUACACACAGGAGAUAAUCUGUAUUCCUGCACUGACUGUACGAAGAGUUUCACAACAUCACAGGCUCUGACAGUUCAUCUGCGAGUCCACACUGGAGAAAAAC
rnacentral:lncRNA from 13 species